GUCUGGUGGUAGAGAUGCUCACAGAGUAUGCUGUUUCUCAGAGUGAAGUUUGGCACUUUUGCUAUUCCCAGAGGCAGGGACAGAGCACAGGCUAAAGGGCAGGUACCUCGUGCAGAUUCCCCAAAGCCAGCGGAGAUCAACCACAGACAGCUCAGGUGAUCUGAGGCAGCGCAGGAGCUACUGAUGAAGUAGCAUAGUUCAUUCUGAGUGAUGGCUGGAGAGGAGAAAGGCCCUGUGGGUUUUGCCCCUUCCUUUGUGCGGUUGUCACAGUUGAUCACAGUGAGGCAUGCAUAAUUUUUAAUCACAGUCACCUUUUGUUUGAAAAUACUAGUUUACCUCAAGAGCGUUCUGAGCCCAGGCCUGUGGUUACAUUCCUAUCUUGAUUCAAGAGCAGCAGCCACAAGGAAGGAACUUCUACCAGACUGAGAUCUUAACUAUGCAUAAAGAUGCUUUCAGAUAGGAUAAAGGUAUCUCCAAGGAAAAAUACCACAAGUACCUGCAUAAAAAUGCCUGUGCAGGAGCCAUGAAAAAAUAAACAGCACAGUUAUGGAGGGGAGUUAGCUAGGGUUCCAGGGAGCUAGGAUAGAAAGUGCUAAGUACCAUCAAAGAGAAUCUCUAUUUUUAUAGUUGUUAUGGCUCAGGCGAGCUGAGUGUGUAGAGACAAAACAGCGCUCAUACCACUAUGACAACUGACUAUAUUUAAUAUUGACUCCCACAAACCCUUAUUAAUAUUUCACAAGAGCAGAAGAUUAAGUGACUGGCAUCAGAAUUAUUUUUGUCUGAACGAGAAUAACAGGUAUUUAAAAUCUGAACCACCAGAUCUGCUGUAUCUGGCCAGCUGCUCUCCAAGUUUUUAUUUGUACACACACAUAUAUUAUUUUUUUUUCCUAAAGAACCAUCUGCUGUAAGUGGAGGCGCUUAUUAACUUUUCUAGGAGAAAAGGAAAUUAGCAUCUGAAGACACGAAGCCAGCGGAUUGUGAAGGAACACAGUUAUGAAGACAAAAUUAAAAAAAAAAAUUCUCUGACACCCUAUGGACCAAUUUAACAGUGUUCUAUUUGGAGGGGUUCUGUUGGCAAAGCAUACAUUUUUAGUUAUUUCUGUUAUGGUUACUACAAGCAGCAAUUUCCAAACUAUGGUUUUAAUAGAUGCCGCAUUAUGUUACAGCUAAGGAGAGUAAGCUCUGGGUUGUGGCACAUGCAUUUAAGGAACCAAUGCCUUCUUCUUACAUUUCCCAGAUCUUGACAAUCAGCAUGGGGUAUCAUAACAGGUUACUAGAACACACUUGGAUGUAAGAAACAUAGCACCAGUUUGAAAGCGCUGGGUCAAAUCAUUUAUGAUGAACGAAAUGGCUUCCCCAAUAUUCUAUCUUUAUGUUAUCUGUGUAUUUUCAAAGAAUUCUGGGCCAUAUAGUAUGGGAAUUUGCAUACAUUUUUAAAGAUGUAAAAAUUGGCACAGGAUCUAAAUAUUUAGUUUUUUUUUUCUUGAGGCAAACUGAAUUAAGGCCAUCACAACACCCUUCUUCACUCUGUACAUUGCAUCAAAUAUAUCUUUUAAUCUUUAGUUUGAAAUUGGAAUUUUUCUGUCUUUUGUCUAUAAUAGAAUUUUUAAAGUGUAGAAUGUUUUAAUAAAUGCUAGGUCAGAGAAGCCUUCCCUGUUCUGUGAAAAGUUUGCCUACUUUAGAAUUGAUCUUGUAUUAGGAAAGAUGUAUUACUGGAUUACAUGAAGUGCAUACUUGACCUGGUAAAACUGAUCGCUGUUAGAAACGUCAGUAGCUUCUGUUUCUCGGCCGACACCAUCAUAGGAAAAUGGGACUUAUACCAGAGCUGGGUGAUCCAGGCUCAGGACUUGGUUCUUCUGCUGCGCAGUUCAUGGACCUGGACCAGUCACUGAGUGAAUGAAUAUUCCUUUCUUCAUCUGUAAGUGGCUGAUCAUGAUGCUUGACCGGAGAGGCAGUUGUGGGGCGCCCAGUGAUACAGUGUUCGUGUGUUUGGUGUAGAGUAAGCAGCCAGCCAGUUAUUCUGUAACCUUUCUGAGGUUACUGUGAAGAGUGCAAAGAAGGGAGAAUGAGCUAAAAUAUAGUACGGAUCUAGAUAAGUCACUAAUUCCUUUGGGGGUCACUAGUUAUUAUGUAAAUCUUAUGAGUCUUACAUUGAUGUUAGAUUACCAGCAAGAGCAAUAAAAAGUUAUCAUCCUUAAUCCUUUUCAUGUUUUCAAAUUAGGCAUUUUUUUUUAAUCCGAUCAAAUACUGUUUCUGAGAAUUUUCUAGUAGGUUCCGGAAGAGCAUACUGAACAAUAUCGUUAUGUAGUACUUACCUUUGUUUAAAACGUUUGUUUUCCAUUUGUUUUUUGGCAGUAAUUAAAUAUCCCAGUGAGCACAGCUGUUCAUUUUGGGUUUAUUUAUUUUUUGACAUGUUUUAUUUAAUUUUUUAAUUAAAACAUAAUCGCAUCAUUUCUUUCUCCCUCACUCCCCAUCCGAGGGCAGCUUAUCAGGCUACAUUGGUGGUAGUUCAUACCACAUCUAAGCCAUGAGUUGUUGACAGGUGUGUUUGUGUCAAUUGUUGCCUGAAGCAAACAGGUGCCGCAUACUGAGAGUCACCGUGGGGAGGCAGAAGUGGCCAACUCCAGUUUAUUCUAAAGCAUUUCACUAACACUAACUCCUCUCAGGUCAAAGGGGCCUCCAAGACUGGAGCUGGAGGUUGCUCUGUGGGAUUAUUUGAGGUCAGACGGGUGAUGACUUCUCCUAAGCCUCUUUCUUCCUUAUUAAAAUGCACACAGUGGACAGCUCUGCUUGCAAAAGGGUACGGGUGACUUUUCCUGGGUUUUCCUGGAAGUGGCUAGGCUAAGAGUCCCACCUGGCUUGGCCUGACACCAAAACGCUUUCCUGUGCGAAUUUUGCAAACUUUCAAGUGUCUGGGAAAGUUAAUCUCUACAGUCUAGCAUUUUAAGCAGUGGGUGCAGGUAGUAAAAUGAAUAUAUGAAUCCAUAAAAUGCCUUUUAGUGUAUGGUUUUGUGUUUUGCAUCUUAUUUUGUAACAAGGUCAGGUGCUUCCUUUGUGUUUUCCCUUGACAGAUAGAGCAAUUUUCUUAAGACCAAGAACAUUUAAGAAAAAAGAAAAGAAAAGGAAAAGAAAGGAAAAGAAAAGGAAAAAACAACAACCCAGAA
rnacentral:lncRNA from 1 species